GAAAAAGUUUGGAAACAUCUCAUAGGAAUCUUACUUUAUCUGCAACACUGUAGAUUUCCAUCCUGUUCCUGCAGUUCACGACAAAAGCGUGUGCAAUGGCACCCAGCUUUCUGCAUUCCUCAGCUGUUUCCUCAACACCUUCCUAGCGGGAGAAAACAUCUAUAAACAUCUAUAACCCACAGGUAUGAUGCUAGCAUAUUCACGGCAUAAACAAAAGACCUGUACAGGGAAGACGUGCUGCGUGUGCCAAAUUUUAAUGAACCAUAGUUUAAUAUACAACAGAGGGG